GGUUGAAUUUUACGGUUUAGGGUUUAAUGGAUAUUGUUUAAGGAGUAGUGUUUAAGUUUUAGAGUUUGAUGUUUAGGGUUUAAGGGUAUGAUUUAACGGUUAGGAUUUAAGAUUUAUGGUUUAAGGAUAUGAUUUAGCGUUUAAUGUUUAGGAUUUAGGGUUAUGUUUUUUUUGGCAUCUUAGGGUUAUGUUUUUAUUUGUUGGAUUUAUGAUGUAUUAAUUAACUAUUACGUGCUCUAUCCAGAUUAAAAAUGUAAUAUCCGCUAAUAAAGUUCAUGAGAAGUCUUCUCAACAGUCACAGUAAGUCUUCUCACUGAAGUUUGUGUAGGUUAGUUUUGUAGUUGACAAUUAAAAUUUAAUUAUUUAAUUUUUGUUAGAAAUUUUUUUUUUCAUAACCAAAUGUUUGACCAUAUACGGAAUAGAAAACUAGAAGAGUUCCAGGGAAAUCUUCUUUCAAAAGAGUUCUAGACAAGUCUUCUAAUAAAAAUAUUUAAGUUUUAGCUGUCAGUUGCAAAACUAAUCUACACAGACUUCCUUCGACAGUGAGAAAACUUCCACCGACAAUAGAAAAGAUUUCACAGGAAUCUUCGGACGGAAAGCUUU
rnacentral:lncRNA from 1 species